rnacentral:lncRNA from 1 species
GGGAAACAUUCCAAAUAUAGAACAGCCACUAAGAAGAAGAUUCUUAAGACUCCUUAACAAAUAAAUUGUAUUGGGAAGGGAGAUGAGGUUUGUGCAACCAUUAAGUUUUAAUGUCCAAAGCUUAGUGAGAUAUCUAAUUGAUGAAGGUAACUCCUUUAUGGCAGUAAAAUCCAAAUUCAAGGUCCUUAAAGAUUUCAUGUUUUCAGCAAUUGUUGGGAAGCUUUCAAGCUUACAACACCCAGAAAGUGAUAAACAUAGAAGAGACUUUAAGCUGAGAUAGCUUGGAAGCUUUACCAGGUUAGUGCAUUGUUUAAGGUACAAACCUUCAAGCUUAUCCAAAGAUCCAACAGAUUCAUGAAUUACUCUUAAAUUUGUGCAUUCAUAGAUAUGCAAGCUCGUAAGGUUUGAUGCUGAAGAUAAGUCUGGAAUUUUCUCAAGUUUUUUGCAGUAAGAGAGAUUCAAUUUUUUAAGAGAACUUAACAUGAAGUAGCCUCUUGGAAGCUUUUUAAGGUUAGAACAACCAUCAAGGUUUAGGACAGUAAGCUUAUCGAGAGAGAAAACAGACUUAUCUAUCAUUCCUAAAUUUGUGCAAUUGGAGAGAUACAACUCUUCAAGGUUUGAUGCUGCAGAGAAAUUAGGAAUUUUCUCUAAGAAAGUAGAGUAGCUAAGAUCAACAAGCUUCAACCUUUCACAAUCCUAAAACACAUUGGAAAAUAAACCAAAAGGAAAAGAGGUAUGUAAUUAGCAUACCAAACAAAAUUUAGAUAAAUCAGUGCCUAAAACAAUAAUUGUAAAUAUAAAAAAUUAUAGAAUAAUAUAGGUAAAAAAAUUCUAUAAAUAAGCAUUAAUCAGUAUUUAGGCAAACUAAUAAUAAGGGAGAAAUUUUAAAAAAUAGCAAAUUUUACAAAAUAUUUACAACUUAUAGCAAAAUUUUUAAAUUCUAUCACUAAUAUACUACGGUGAUAGAAGUUUAUCAAUGACUAUCAUUAAUAGAAUCCAAAAUUUUGCUAUAGCUUGUAAAUAUUUUAAUUUAUUUUGCUAUUUUAAAAAAUGUUUAUAUAUAUAUAUAUAUAAGUAUUUAAUAAAGAAAUUUAAAAAAGAAAUAGUUAUAAAAAAACAAAUUAUUUAUAAUUCAAAAAAUUGCAUAUAGAUACCUUAACUCAACUCUGCAUCCUAAGUACAAACAUAUGAACCUAGAAAAAGCAACUCUCCACCACACACAUAGACAAUAUAAACUCCACAUCAUCAUAUCCCAACUUAACGCCACAAAAAACUCCUUACAUUCCAAAACUAUUAUUAUAGGUCUGUGUUAUUUGUGAAUUAUUUUAAAAUGUAAGUUACCCAUUUAUUGCAUAUAUAGAAAUAAACUUUACCUCAAGUCUUUUCCCAAAUGUUUUGAUGAAGCUAUGUUGCAAAUCUAGUCCAACAAGAUUUUUCAUAGUGAAGAACGAAGGAAAAGUUGGUUGACGAAAUCCAUGCCACUUAAUCCACUUUAAGCUAUCAGGUAGGUACUCAAUCUUUGUAGAAAAUCUUGCAUUUUGAACAAUAAGCAAUCUCAAAUUUUUCAUUUUUCUAAAAGCUUGUGGAUCCACAUCCAGCCUCGUGGAAUUAGGAAAGUCCAACUUUAUGCCUUUAACUGCGUCUGUUCCCUGAAAAAGUUAUAUAUUUAGUAACUUAACAACAUUUCACAAACCUUCUUCGUUAUUUGAAAUAUUAUAAAUAAGUAUGUUAAAGAGAGUUACUCACUUAAUUAUUAACAAGCACCUCCCAAACAUCCUGUACCAACCACAACCUACUCCUCUUUCCAAGCUCAAGAGAUUCACCACAAACUAUUUUAUGACCCAUCUGUUUUAUUAAAUCAUGCAUUUGCAUUAUGCCAUUUUCAAUCGUAAUAAAUGAAAGAUCCGUGAGUACUAUAAUUCCAAAAUCUAGAUUUACAUGACAUGCACUCAACAUAUCCUUAACGUACUUACCUUUCUCUCCCACAAGUAAACAAGAAAUAUCAAGAAAGAUAUCCUUUACUUUGUCUUCCAGACCAUCAAAACUUAAUUGAAGAAUAUCUUUGAUAUCUUUGUUCAAAGAGUUUUCAAAUUCAUCUAAUAUACUACACCAUUCUACUUGAUCUCUGGUACAGAGGAAAGAACCCAAAACAACGAGAGCCAAAGGAUGGCCUUUACAAUAACUUGUAGCACGUUUUGAAAGGUCUAAAUAAUUACUUGAUGGAUGAUUUUUCUUGAAAGCAUGCCAACUAAAAAGCUCAAUAGCUUUGUCUUCAUCCAAUCCUAGAAUAUUUUUCAUUUCAUCAAAGCCAUGGCUAGAAAGUAAAUGUUUGUUCCUUGUCGUCACAAUGAUUCUACUGCCUUGGCCAAACCAAUCACGCCCGCCAACCAAUGCUUCUAACUGCUCAAGCUUAUCUACAUCAUCAAGAACUAUAAGGACUUUCUUCAAACACAAUCUAUUCCUUAUGAUGUUAAUUCCUCUAUCAAGGUUGACAACCUUCAAAUCAACCGUUAGGAUCUCAUAGAGUAGGGUUUCCUGUAGUUGAGCAAGGCCAUUGAAUUGCUUUGAAGCUUCUCUAACAUUUGAUAGAAAGCAGCAACCUUCAAAUUGGCUAGCAAUUUUGUUGUAUAAAGCUUUAGCCAAAGUUGUCUUACCAAUGCCUCCAAUGCCAUAUAAGCCCACCAUGUAAACACCAGUAUCAGACUCAUACUCAUGUUGUUUUCGAUAAUGGAAUUUGUUGCUCUUCUCAAAAAGACUAUGUGAACGAAGCUUCAUAUAUUCUAGUUUAGAAUCAAUUCCAACCGGAUACUUAGCUACAUAUAAGGGCGUGCAAGUGCGGUUUAAUACAGACAACACUUUUUUAACAAGAUCUCCAAUAAGAUCAGCCUCCUUCCUGUUGUUAAGUGCAUAAUCAUACCAAAAUUAAAAGGGAUGAACACAUUUAAUUAUUAAAUUGCAUCUUGAGAGAGAAUGAAUCUUCUAAAAUUAAAAUUUGGUCUGUGUGCUUAUUUACAUACAUACGUAAAUACAUACAUACGUACAUACAUACAAAUCAUGGGCAUAAAAAUGAAAUUUGGAAUGGAAAAAAAAAAUGUCUGUAAAAAUAUAUACCUAGUUCCUAGAUUCCAACCAGACAAGUUAGCAGCAGUAGUUAAAGCUUCCCUCCAAAUUUGGGUCUUUGUUUGGAACUUAGGCUGAUGUUUGGCCAGUGCUUCUCCGAAGCUACCAGUUUGUUUUCGUAUAUCGGACGGAUCCACCUUAUAGAAAACUGGGAAAACAUUCUGGCCCUUGGAUUUCUUACACUCAAUUAUGUUCACCAACUCAUCCAGACACCAGGAAGAAGAUGCAUAAUUUUGAGAGAAUAUAACAAUAGAAAUGGAAGCUUCCUGUAUAGAUUUGAAAAGGGAUUCAGAAAUUUGCUCACCCCUUUCGAGCUUGUCGUUUAUGAAGACAUUGACACCCUUUUGACGCAAGGCCAUAUCAAGAUGACUGGUGAAAUUGGUGCGAGUAUCCUCUCCUCUGAAACUCAAAAACACAUCAUAAGUCCAUUUGAAAGUCGGUGAUUCUGUUGCAACAGUGGAAGAAUCCAUCAGAAAGAAAGACCAAGACUAAACAAAAGAGAAAAAAAUUGAAGAAUGAUGUAUUAGAUAAAGAGAAAAAAUCAGACGCUUCAACUCUCAAUAUAAUUUGAUUCAGUUGGCACCGCCAGUAAAGAAGUUGAUUGAUACAGUACAGCUUCCACUUUCAUCCAAAGACUUUUCUCUACCUCUCCCAUUUUUCCAUCAACAUCGUAAUUAAAUUGAAUGGAACAUAAAAGUCAAGAAGGUGGGAAGUCUGUUUGUAGAGUUCAUAUUUGGUUCACAUGUAUGGUUUUUAUUUUUUAGAAAACUGAAAUUAAAAAACUAACACUUCCUUUCAUAACCAUUUGGCUGUUAGUUUAGGAUUUUUGAAAACAAAACUUAUUUUCUCCUCCAAUUCUCACUGUAGUUUUUCUUUGUUCUUGAGUAACAAUUUGGACUUUAGCUAAUUCCAUGAGUAAAAACAAGUUUUUAAAUACUAAUUUUAGUUUUCGAAAAUUGAGUUUGUGUUUUGAAAAAAUAACAGUAGAAAGUAAAUGGUUAAAUUUAGAAGUCAAUAUUCACUCUUUUAUCUUUGUCUGUUUUUUUGUAUAUUUAACCGACUUCUCAGAAAAGCCAAUUUUAUCAUAAAUUUUCAAUUUAGUUAGAUUGAUGCCACAGAUAUUUAUCUUUAAAUAACAUCAUACUUAACAUUAUAAUUAUAAUGAUCAUAAUGUCGUAUUAGCAUUGCCUGUCAAAUUCGUCAUCCGAAACCAAAGAACAAUAACUGGAUUUUGGCUCUAAAUAAAUAAUCGGAAAAAAGUAGCUAGGGGAUAAAGAAGACAGGGUUCUUUUUUUGCUUCUUUUAAUAUAAACUUGAAGACAAAAGAUGAUUUGAUUUCACUUUUUAAUACAAUAUUUUUCCUUUAAUCAACUAUAUGUAGUAGGUUUGAAUGAUAGCAAAAGAAAGAAAAAAAAAACUAUAGCAAUUAUUUAAUUUCUACUUUGUUACGGGGAACAAGCGUGUAUGCGUUAGUUAAUUCUUGGAAAAUUCAAGGAAGAUUCUAAGAAAUGCAUGCCUAAAUAUUAUAGGGAAAUAUUUUAGAGUGUUUUGUGUAAUAUAGUCUUCAAACAAUCGAGACUAUAUAUUAUACUUCCUUUUUUAUAUAUAUAUAAAUUUGACUUCUUGUGUGAAUCUAACCAUAGUCCCACAUUCUUUAAAUAAGAGGAUGAUCUCGAAUAUAUAAGUAAGGAUAACUAUCUUCGUUGGUAUGAGACUUUUUAGGAUGAUACCAAAAGCAAAAUCAUGAGGAUGUAUACUCAAAGUGGAUAAUAUCGUACCAUUGUAGAGAUAUUUGGUGGAGUUGUUGUCCGAACAAUAAUAAAAUAGAAUAUUGCUUAUGAGACAAAAUGCAUUUCCUUCAAAAGCUCAAGUUCUAGUUCCCUUUUAUCAUUAUCCAAUUGAUAACCGAUUUAUAUGUCUACUCUAAAUGUUAGCAUUCAUAUGUUGGGGGAUUUCAAACUAAGAUCUGAUGAACAAUGGAUUUAUGUUUUGACGUUUAACAAUAUAUAAUUUGGGGAAAUGCUACUUCUAGUACGAGUCAUCCGAAGAAUACAAUGCAGUUCAUUGAAUUUUUCUUUGAUACGUUGAGUUGAGGAUAUACAUCAUGAGCCCCCAUGCAAGUGUGCCAUAAGGAUUGAUCAAUUCUUAAUUUUAAUAGCAAAAUCAUACUUUCCUUUUACACUUCCACCUUCUGAAUAAUCAGAUUUAAUCCAACGCUCUGCUCUAACCCAUGUCCCUUAAUUAUAUUCUCUCUAACAUUCAAAUUUUCAAAUGCCAAAUGAAAAAGAAAAGACUUCCAACUUUAUGCCUGAAUCCAAAUUGGUGUGUAUCAUGCAAAUCACCAAAUGAGGAUAUGAACCACGCCUUCAUCCACUGCCCUAAAGCACAGGAAUUCUGGAAGAAGUCUAAAGAGGAAAUUGGGACAAGUAUUAAAUGCACCUGAUAUGCUUGAACUCCUAUUUAUACACUUCAUAUACUAUUGAUAUACACUUGUAAACUUGAUUCAUAUAUUAAUUUGAUAAUGAUUCACUUUACUGAUAUGCUUUAACAAUAUAUUAUUCAUAUACUUGAUAAUGAUACACUAAGUUAAAUCAUUCAUAUACUUAAUAAUACUCUAAUGAACUACAUAAUUUGAAAAAAAUGAAAACAUGCAUUAACUAUACUAGCAAAUUAAUACAUAUAAUAUAAGUAUAUCACAAGACUAAUAUACGAAACUGAGACAAAGUAAAACCAAAAAAUUAAUGUAAAAACAUAAAACAAAAUCAGUUGGAAUCAGAUUCAACUCAAAAUACACAUCGAAGAAAAUAAAAUAAAAUCCCAAAUGAAGUUAAAUUACUUCAAUCAACCACCAUUAUAUUAUAUUUCAUUUUGCAAUUAUUGUACUAUUGAUAUUUUAAAAUUAAGAUUAAGACAUAAAGAAUAAAUAAUUUUUCUAGUAUAAGAAUAAAUAAAUAAUUAGUAGAGCAUUCAAAAGAGGAAGAAAAAAAAUAGGAAGAAAAAUAAGUUAUUGAAUGGUAGUUUAGGAAUAAUAACAAAUUUAAGAUAUUUUGUCAUAUUUGCAAAAUUCUAAAACAAUGUGCUAUAAUUGCUAAUAUUCUCAAAAUGUUAUCCUAUGCAAUUUCUCAAAAAUUAUUUAUUCUUUCGGUCUUAAUCUUAAUUUUAGAAUAUUAAUAGUACAAUAAUUGUAAUAUGAAAUAUAGUGGUUGUUGAUCGGAGUAAUUUACCUUCAUUUGUGAUUUUUUUUUUUUACUUUUUUCCACGUGUAUUUUGAGUUGAAUUUGAUUUCAAAUGAUUUUUUUUAUAUUAAUUUUGUUUUGGUUUUAUUUUGUCUCAGUUUUGUAUAUAUCAGUGUUGUGAUAUACUUAUAUUAUAUGUAUUAGUUGGUUAAUAUACUUACUACGUGAUUUUCAUUUUUUCAAAUUUUAUGCAGUUCAUUAGAGUAUUAUUAAGUUUAUGAAUGAUGUAACUCAGUAUAUCAUUAUCAAGUAUAACAACAAAAUAUUAUUACAAAAUAUCAAUAAAGUAAAUCAUUAUCGAAUAUAUGAAUCAAAUUUACAAGUGUAUAUCAAUGGUACAUCAAGUGUAUAUCAAUGGUACAUCAAGUGUAUAUAUAAGUAGGACUUCAAGCAUAUCACGUGCAUUUAAUCAAUCAAUUGUAUAAGUGAAGAAUACUAAAUGUAUCUGUAGUGCAUCAGGUGUAUCAAACAUAUCAUGUACAUCAAACAUAUCAAAUUUAAAUUUGUUGAGUGUUCCAAUGAAGCAUAACAAGUUUAUUAGCAGUGUAUCAAACUUAUAAAUGAAGUCUUUAAGUAUCAAAGCCUAAGUGGUAUCAAAUAUAUCAAGAAGAAUCAAGUGUAACGAGGAGUAUUAUAAUGUGUAUCAAGAUAUUUCAGGUGUGUAUCAAAAGGUAUCGAAUGUAUAAAACAGUACCAGAUGCAUCAAAUGUAUCAAUCAAAUGUAUCGGGUGUAUAAAAAAGUAUCAGGUGUAUCAAUGAGUAUUAAGUGUAUCAGACGUGUAUAAGGUGUAUCAAAGGUAUAUUAGUAACAAAGGUAUUUGUGACAUUUCACCUUUUGAUGUGUGGACUGAGUUUCAUUUUUUUGUCAUUUUUACAAAUAAUAAAGUGUGUUUAGGAUUAAUUAUUAUAACUUAUUCUGAUAUUUUUGAGGUGCCCCAAAUAAAUAUAAAUAUGUUUAGGAUUGUUUAUGCUUCAACAUGCAUGGAACAAUAAAAUAAUUCUGGAUCUCAAUUUGAUUUUAUGGCUCUGUUUCUAGAUUGUAAACAUAUAGAGUACAUAGGGGUAUAGAUAAACAAAAAUUAGGUGUGGCCACCUUCUACCAUUUUCUAAAGACACUGGUAAGUAAUUUAAACAUUUGCAACACAAACUUGGAAAAUUAAUUUGAGGGUGGAUCAACGGGCCCAGGGUUGCCAUAAGGAUGGAUCAACCCUUCUAAUAAUGAAAUGAUGAUUUCUUGCAACAUCAUGAUCUUCAAAUCUGUAAAUCUCAAUCCAACGAGGCUUUGCUAUAGCCCAUGCACUUACAAAUCUGUAUACUCUAUCAUCCAAAUUUUCAAAGUAUAUGUAAUACAUUUUGGAUGAUGUAAUUGUACUAUGGUUUGCGAUAAUGUUGGUCCCUUUUUUACAACCUCCACGCUUGUCGAGGCCCGAAUAUCUCAUGAAACGGUACUGUGAUUCUUCGACCAAGUAAAAGCUUGUAGGAUUAUCUAAAGGUUGUCUCCAAUCAUUAUCAUAUGACCAAUUAAAUUUGUUGCAUACAGAGUUGGCUAGUGCAGUUUUUGCCAUGCCUUCCAUUCCACAUAUCACUGUAUCACCAUUAUAUGAUACGUGCAACGGGAAAACCAUAGGUUGUACGUUGGAACCAAUUAUUGCUUCUGGAGCAUAACUUCCUGCAUGCAACAUUGCUUUGCAAUUUGACAAGGAGGACAUUUCUUCAAAAAAGCGUUUGACAAGAAGAUCCUCAAUAUCCCUGUGUGCCAUUAAGUUAAAACAACAUAUUAUCAUAUCGGUCCAUAUAUUAACCUAAUCCUACUUUCACUCAAAAAAAAAAAAAAAAAGAGUAAACAAUCAACUUACAGAUUUUGCAAUUUCUCCAGUUGAUAAAAAUCAGCAUAAUUUACCACCGGCCACUUGACAUCCAUUUGUAUUAUCCCAUGGAGCUCUUCAGUGACAUGGACACCACAUCUUCUUAUACUUGUAUUUACCUCAUCAUGAACCUCAAACCAAACCAAAACUUCUUUCCAAUCAUUCACCUCCAUGGAACCCCAAGCUAGAGAAGUUGACACUAACCACACAUAUUCUGAUUUUGAUGGAAGAAAUGAUCUUGAAAAAGAACAAUGCAGUCUAUUGCAGAUGAAUAUAUUGCAUGAAAUUCUUUCAGAUGAAUCUCCAUUCACUGUGAAACUAACACAGGCAGCCAAAGUUCUUUCCAUGUCUGGAUAGUGACGAAAGCUAGCACUCACUAAAUUUGAUGUAGUCUUAUAGCUGAACCAUUCUGGAACCUCAAUGCCUGUUAGUAAGAACUCUCUUGAAAUCUCACCCAAUGUGAGGUCCUACAAAAUAAUUGAAGAAUUUUGAUAUGCAUAAAACUUUUUACAAAAUAUCAUAACAAAUUGAAUGGAAAGAAACAGAACCUGUUUUUUUGAUAUUAUAUCCCCAAUGUUAUCUGGACUUUUACCCACCAAUUUACAGCCAUUCGCAUUCAAAAUUUGUAUGUUUUGAGGAAGGUUCGGAAUUUCUUGAAGAGACCUGCAAUUUCUUAAGUCAAGUUUCAAUAGGGACAUUAACAAAGAAAUUGUAUUGGGAAGGGAGAUGAGGCCUGUGCAACUGUCAAGGUUUAAUCGAGAUAGAUUGGUAAGAUAUCCCAUUGAUGAAGGUAACUCCUUUAUGGCAGUAAAAUCCAAAUCCAAGGACCUUAAAGAUUUCAUGCUUUCAGCAAUUGUUGGGAAGCUUUCAAGCUUACAACACCCAGAAAGUGAUAAAUAUCGAAGAGACUUUAACCUAAG